UUCCUGGCAGAUUAAAACUGUGUGCCGGACCGAGACUCGAACUCGGAUGGUUCGAGUCUCGGUCCGGCACACAGUUUUAAUCUGCCAGGAAGUUUCAAUUAAUUUCUUCACACCGUAACAUAUUUCUCUUUAUUU